UACGUAGGGUGCGAGCGUUAAUCGGAAUUACUGGGCGUAAAGCGUGCGCAGGCGGCGCGUUAAGACAGGUGUGAAAGCCCCGAGCUUAACUUGGGAAUUGCGCUUGUGACUGGCGUGCUGGAGUGUGGCAGAGGGAGGUGGAAUUCCACGUGUAGCAGUGAAAUGCGUAGAGAUGUGGAGGAACACCGAUGGCGAAGGCGGGACUCUGGGCCGAUACUGACGCUGAGGAGCGAAAGCGUGGGGAGCGAACAGG
rnacentral:rRNA from 1 species